rnacentral:rRNA from 1 species
GACGAACGCUGGCGGCGUGCCUAAUACAUGCAAGUAGAACGCUGAAGAGAGGAGCUUGCUCUUCUUGGAUGAGUUGCGAACGGGUGAGUAACGCGUAGGUAACCUGCCUUGUAGCGGGGGAUAACUAUUGGAAACGAUAGCUAAUACCGCAUAACAAUGGAUGACACAUGUCAUUUAUUUGAAAGGGGCAAUUGCUCCACUACAAGAUGGACCUGCGUUGUAUUAGCUAGUAGGUGAGGUAAUGGCUCACCUAGGCGACGAUACAUAGCCGACCUGAGAGGGUGGGCGGCCACACUGGGACUGAGACACGGCCCAGAGUCCUACGGGAGGCAGCAGUAGGGAAUCUUCGGCAAUGGGGGCAACCCUGACCGAGCAACGCCGCGGGAGGGAAGAAGGGUGUCGGAUCGUAAAGCUCUGUUGUAAGUCAAGAACGGGUGUGAGAGUGGAAAGUUCACACUGUGACGGUAGCUGACCAGAAAGGGACGGCUAACUACGUG